AAGACACAAAAAUACUCGCUAAAUAAAUAGGUAUUUUGUAUUAUAAUGAUUCUAUAGGUAGUCGGACCUCGCCAAGAACGAGAAAAUCAUGUGGAAACUGUCGAUGCCGGAGUACAGGUUCAUGAUGGACGACGACAACGUUGAGGUAGUGCAAUUCGCGAUUGACGACAACAACGGUGAAAUCGUUGAAGUUGUCAUAGACGGAGAUGAACAAGUACCAGCUCAUGUUGAAGUGGUAUCAGAUGAUGAUAAUUUUGUUGGUGUUUUCGACAUUUCACCACUAUGCGUUAUUGAACAUUGAAGAGGUCAAACAAAACGCCCCGGUUUUUGGACAUAUUAUGCUGCUGCUAAACUGUCUGGCUGGCGUUCAGCGCCCACUACCGGAACCAUACAACAUAGGCGCGUUGAAUUAUGUCUGUGCGUAUUGUAAGGCCCUCCACUUUAGGUGCGAUCAAACAACCCCGAAUCAUUUGUCUACAUGCUGCAAUGACGGUCUGAUGGCCGUUUCAGGACCGUGUGUGUUGACAACUGCCAUUUACUACAGAGGUUGUCGGUUGAAGAUUCGGUGGAAGGCAGACACUACCGAAAUAACAUCCCCUGGUAAAACCACACUUUGGAUAUUGCUGCGUUCUCCACCGACCUCAACACAUCACGAUUGCUAGGUCGGGGACUAAAUGUGUUCACUGUGUCAGAGGCCAAAAUAUUGGCCAGGAGGAUGUAUCCAAACUGCCAAGUCUUUGAUAUUCACAUCUACCAACAUCAUUACUGAACUAGACUGGAACAUCUAAAGACAAGCAGUGGAAACAGAGCAUCACAGAUCUUGGGUGAUAUUGAAGAAAAGGUGAAGGACAUUCAGGCCUUCAGUCUAUGAUGCCGUCAAUGAAGAAGAUGACAAUAUUAAGUAUGUCAAAUAUUUGCCUCCAGCCUUAAAUAUACUGAUUUUUCAGACAAUUUUGCAAUGAUAACAAUGAUUCAUACUUUGUGUCUGGUGGGAGCAAACAACCUCGAAUCAUUUUUCUACAUGCUGCAAUGACGGUCUUAAAGCCGUUUCAGGCCGUGUGUGUUGAAAACGCACCGCAUUUACUUCAGAGGCAGAUAUUACCGAAAUUAUAUUCGGUAGCAUUUGCUGCGUUCUCCACCGAUCUCAACACACCACGCUUGCCAGGUCGAGGACCGAACGUGUUCACUGUUCUGGGGCAGGGAUAUUGAACGAUAAGUAAUGACUUGUUCGGGAACAAUCCUAUUCAACGCAGAUACUGCCAACUGUAUUUCGUCAAAUCCGGCGAGUCAAACUGGAUUUGUAGGGAGCAGCAGCAACUACUGCCUGCCGCACACCAUCUAUUUUCAAGUGUGCUCGAAGAUUUAGACGACCUGUUACAGGACAUAAAUCCAUUCGCACAGGCUUUCGAGUAAUAUAUUAAAUUAAUUUUACUGAACAAUUCACAUUUGCAUUACUCUACACUACAGACAAACUAUGUUCACAUUGAUUUUUAACAUUGAAAUUUAGUUUCUCAAAAUCGGCUAGCAAGUACACAUGUUAUCAUUCCAAUUAUUAUAAUUAAUUGCACUAUUUGAUUAGCCUUAUGUCAUUGUAGAUUUACCUGCAUACUAACACUA